UUUGAACAAAAUUAGUUAAGGUCUAUAUAAUUCAAAGAAUUUGGCGGUUAAUUUAAAUUUCAGAGGAACCUGUAUUUUAAUUGAUAAACCACGCUAAUUGAAACCUUAAUUAAAUUUGUAUACCUCUAUAGUUAAAAUGUUUUUUUAGAAUAUUUUUUUUUUAAGAGAUUAAUAAUUUUAGGUCAAGGUGCAGUUAUAUUAAGGUUAAUAUGGGUUACAAAAAUUCAAAAUUUAUAUUUCUAACAACUUUUGAAUUAAUUUAGGAUUUGAAAGUAAAAGAAAUUAAUUAAUUUUUUUAAAUUUU
rnacentral:rRNA from 1 species